AUUGAACGCUGGCGGCAUGCCUAACACAUGCAAGUCGAACGAGUGGCGGACGGGUGAGUAAUGCCUGGGAAUCUGGCUGAUGGAGGGGGAUAACUACGGGAAACUUUAGCUAAUACCGCAUACCAUACGAUGUGCCCAUGUGGGAUUAGCUAGUUGGUGUGGUAAAGGCUCACCAAGGCGAGGAACUCUAGCUGGUCCGAGAGGAGGACCGGACAAACUGGGACGGAGACACGGCCCAGACUCCUACGGGAGGCAGCAGUGGGGAAUAUUGGACAAUGGGGGAAAGCCUGACACAGCAAUGCCGCGUAAGUGAAGAAGGUCUUCGGGUUGUAAAGGUCUGUCGGUAGGGAGGCGUUAACUACAGAAUAAGCAACGGCUAACUACGUGCCAGCAGCCGCGGUAAUAC
rnacentral:rRNA from 1 species